rnacentral:rRNA from 1 species
GAUGAACGCUGGCGGCAUGCCUAAUACAUGCAAGUCGAGCGAACGGACGAGAAGCUUGCUUCUCUGAUGUUAGCGGCGGACGGGUGAGUAACACGUGGAUAACCUACCUAUAAGACUGGGAUAACUUCGGGAAACCGGAGCUAAUACCGGAUAAUAUUUUGAACCGCAUGGUUCAAAAGUGAAAGACGGUCUUGCUGUCACUUAUAGAUGGAUCCGCGCUGCAUUAGCUAGUUGGUAAGGUAACGGCUUACCAAGGCAACGAUGCAUAGCCGACCUGAGAGGGUGAUCGGCCACACUGGAACUGAGACACGGUCCAGACUCCUACGGGAGGCAGCAGUAGGGAAUCUUCCGCAAUGGGCGAAAGCCUGACGGAGCAACGCCGCGUGAGUGAUGAAGGUCUUCGGAUCGUAAAACUCUGUUAUUAGGGAAGAACAUAUGUGUAAGUAACUGUGCACAUCUGGACGGUACCUAAUCAGAAAGCCACGGCUAACUACGU